rnacentral:rRNA from 1 species
AGGACGAACGCUGGCGGUGUGCUUCACACAUGCAAGUCGAACGGGAGUAGCAAUACUCUAGUGGCGGACGGGUGAGUAACGCGUGGGAAUCUGCCAUGGGGUGGGGGAUAGCAGGCCGAAAGGCCUAUUAAUACCGCAUAUGCCGAAAGGUAAAAGGAGUAAUCCGCCCGAUGAUGAGCCUGCGUCCGAUUAGCUAGUUGGUGGGGUAAAAGCCUACCAAGGCUACGAUCGGUAGCUGGUCUGAGAGGAUGAUCAGCCACAAUGGGACUGAGACACGGCCCAUACUCCUACGGGAGGCAGCAGUGGGGAAUAUUGGACAAUGGGCGAAAGCCUGAUCCAGCCAUGCCGCGUGAGUGAUGAAGGCCUUAGGGUUGUAAAGCUCGUUUACCCGGAAGAUAUGACGGUACCGGGAGAAUAAGCCCCGGCUACUCGUGCCAGCAGCCGC